rnacentral:rRNA from 1 species
GACGAACGCUGGCGGCGUGCUUAACACAUGCAAGUCGAACGCUGAAGCUCAGCUUUUGUUGGGUGGAUGAGUGGCGAACGGGUGAGUAGCACGUGAGUAACCUGCCCCCUUCUUUGGGAUAACGCCCGGAAACGGGUGCUAAUACUGGAUAUUCACUGGUCUUCGCAUGGGGGUUGGUGGAAAGGGUUUUUCUGGUGGGGGAUGGGCUCGCGGCCUAUCCGCUUGUUGGUGGGGUGAUGGCCUACCAAGGCUUUGACGGGUAGCCGGCCUGAGAGGGUGACCGGUCACAUUGGGACUGAGAUACGGCCCAGACUCCUACGGGAGGCAGCAGUGGGGAAUAUUGCACAAUGGGCGAAAGCCUGAUGCAGCGACGCCGCGUGAGGGAUGGAGGCCGUCGGGUUGUGAACCUCUUUCGCUCAUGGUCAAGCCGCAACAAUGGUUGUGGUGAGGGUAGUGGGUAAAGAAGCGCCGGCUAACUACGUG